rnacentral:rRNA from 1 species
CGGCGGACGGGUGAGUAACGCGUGGGUAACCUGCCUUAUACAGGGGGAUAACAGUUAGAAAUGACUGCUAAUACCGCAUAAGCGCACAGUACCGCAUGGUACGGUGUGAAAAACUCCGGUGGUAUAAGAUGGACCCGCGUCUGAUUAGCCAGUUGGCGGGGUAACGGCCCACCAAAGCGACGAUCAGUAGCCGACCUGAGAGGGUGACCGGCCACAUUGGGACUGAGACACGGCCCAAACUCCUACGGAAGGCAGCAG